GUAGGUGGCAAGCGUUGUCCGGAAUUAUUGGGCGUAAAGCGCGCGCAGGCGGUUCUUUAAGUCUGAUGUGAAAGCCCACGGCUCAACCGUGGAGGGUCAUUGGAAACUGGAGAACUUGAGUACAGAAGAGGAAAGCGGAAUUCCACGUGUAGCGGUGAAAUGCGUAGAGAUGUGGAGGAACACCAGUGGCGAAGGCGGCUUUCUGGUCUGUAACUGACGCUGAGGCGCGAAAGCGUGGGGAGCAAACAGGGAUUAGAUACCCUAGUAGUCCACGCCGUAAACGAUGAGUGCUAAGUGUUAGGGGGUUUCCGCCCCCUUAGUGCUGCAGCUAACGCAUUAAGCACUCCGCCUGGGGAGUACGGCCGCAAGGCUG
rnacentral:rRNA from 1 species